rnacentral:lncRNA from 1 species
CCGGGAACCCCGAACAUCCCCUUUCUCUACUCUUUCCCUUUGGAGUCUAUAGAGGGAGAAGCAGAGCCUAAGGCUUCAUCAGUUUGAAUACUGGCUGGGGCUGGGCAAGUUAGUGGCUCAAAGUGUUGAAUCUGUCCCUAAAGCAGGGACAGAAAUGGAGGCUCAGGAGGUAGAGGUGGCAGUGGGCGUGCAGGAGAAGCUGUAGGUCAGGAGGUAGAGGUGGCAGUGGGCGUGCAGGAGAACUGUAGGUCAGAGUGGAGAGGUGGCAGUGGGCGUGCAGGAGAAGCUGUAGGUCAGGAGGUAGAGGUGGCAGUGGGCGUGCAGGAGAAGGUGUAGGUCAGGGGGUAGAGGUGGCAGUGGGCGUGCAGGAGAAGCUGUAGGUCGGGGGGUAGAGGUGGCAGUGGGCGUGCAGGAGAAGCUGUAGGUCGGGAGGUAGAGGUGGCAGUGGGCGUGCAGGAGAAGCUGUAGGUCGGAGAGGGUGCAGAGUGGAGAACAGAUGAGCUGGAGUCACACCAUGCCCUAUACCCAGCCAGAGGCCGAAGUGAGCCUGUCACGGUAAUGCCACUGCCUGCUUGAUUCCCUCCCAUGCCUAGCCUGGGUUCUUCAUGAUCCCUGAGGCCCUCUUUGAUGUCAUCCCGCUGCCUCAAAACCUGUGUGUGCUGGUGGCUCCCUCUGCUUUCCUUCCAGAUGACUCCUUCGCUUCAGCUCAAAUGUCACCUUUGGCUGUUAAAAUCCUUUCCGGAGGAAGUUGUAAACAAUGCCUACCCCUCCUCCCGAGGUCUCUGAUUCCACUCCAGGGAAGAUUGCUCUGGGGGAGCCAAUGAGUUUGUUGGGAUUACUUCCAGAGCAUAGGUGAGGGGUUAGUUACUUGAAUAUGAGUGCUGCCCACCAAAAGACCGCACUGAAAAGUCUUUACCCAGCAGGGGUGAUGGU